rnacentral:rRNA from 1 species
GCGCGAUACAGGGUGACAGCCCCGUACACAAAAGCGCAUGUGCUGUGAGCUCGAUGAGUAGGGCGGGACACGUGGUAUCCUGUCUGAAUAUGGGGGGACCAUCCUCCAAGGCUAAAUACUCCUGACUGACCGAUAGUGAACCAGUACCGUGAGGGAAAGGCGAAAAGAACCCCGGCGAGGGGAGUGAAAAAGAACCUGAAACCGUGUACGUACAAGCAGUGGGAGCACAGGUUUACCUGUGUGACUGCGUACCUUUUGUAUAAUGGGUCAGCGACUUAUAUUCUGUAGCAAGGUUAACCGUAUAGGGGAGCCGGAGGGAAACCGAGUCUUAAUUGGGCGUUAAGUUGCAGGGUAUAGACCCGAAACCCGGUGAUCUAGCCAUGGGCAGGUUGAAGGUUGGGUAACACUAACUGGAGGACCGAACCGACUAAUGUUGAAAAAUUAGCGGAUGACCUGUGGCUGGGGGUGAAAGGCCAAUCAAACCGGGAGAUAGCUGGUUCUCCCCGAAAGCUAUUUAGGUAGCGCCUCGUGAAUUCAUCUCCGGGGGUAGAGCACUGUUUCGGCUAGGGGGCCAUCCCGGCUUACCAACCCGAUGCAAACUGCGAAUACCGGAGAAUGUUAUCACGGGAGACACACGGCGGGUGCUAACGUCCGUCGUGAAGAGGGAAACAACCCAGACCGCCAGCUAAGGUCCCAAAGUCAUGGUUAAGUGGGAAACGAUGUGGGAAGGCCCAGACAGCCAGGAUGUUGGCUUAGAAGCAGCCAUCAUUUAAAGAAAGCGUAAUAGCUCACUGGUCGAGUCGGCCUGCGCGGAAGAUGUAACGGGGCUAAACCAUGCACCGAAGCUGCGGCAGCGAACGUAUCACCCAAGACAACUUUACGGAGUUGACGAUUGACGGAGCGAAGCGACGUCAAAGCGUUCAUUAAAGUCGAGUUGGCUUAGGGAUACGUUCGUUGGGUAGGGGAGCGUUCUGUAAGCCUGUGAAGGUGUGUCGUGAGGCAUGCUGGAGGUAUCAGAAGUGCGAAUGCUGACAUAAGUAACGAUAAAGCGGGUGAAAAGCCCGCUCGCCGGAAGACCAAGGGUUCCUGUCCAACGUUAAUCGGGGCAGGGUGAGUCGACCCCUAAGGCGAGGCCGAAAGGCGUAGUCGAUGGGAAACGGGUUAAUAUUCCCGUACUUGGUGUUACUGCGAAGGGGGGACGGAGAAGGCUAUGUUGGCCGGGCGACGGUUGUCCCGGUUUAAGCGUGUAGGUGUGUGUUCCAGGUAAAUCCGGUUCACUUUAACACUGAGGCGUGACGACGAGGCACUACGGUGCUGAAGCAACAAAUGCCCUGCU